rnacentral:lncRNA from 1 species
GCUGGGGGAAGGGCCUGGGGAACUGACUCAGACUUCAGCUUCAACCAGGAGCUGGUGACAUUAGACUCCACAGGCUGGGUCGUGGUCCAGUGGCCUCCCCUGGAAGAGUGGCUGGACGAUGCCUCUUCAAGGACUCUGUGCUCUGCUUGAGGUUAACGAGUGAGGCCCGAGUCAGGGAGCCAGAGCCUCCCCGACCCCCAGCUGCCGCUCAAGAUGGCAGUCUUGCCCAGGAGGCCCUGGCCUGGCUUUGUGUUUGGCCCAGACAGGCAAGUGGACCCCAGGACCACUGGGACUGGUCGGUGUGGUUAAUGCAGUAGGUACAGCAAUGCCUGUCCAACAGAAGCCGGGAGGGGAAGUCAUGAGGCCACAGGGCAUGAUAGGGCCAGGUUCCUGUGUCCUUCCUCGUAGGAGGGUGAGUCUAUCAGGCAAGGAAGACACAUCGCCCCAGACACAAGUGCCUGCACCUGAGCACCUCAGUAUUGGUGCUGGGCACAUUCCUGGCUGGAUACUUUUUGUUUUUUUGCUGUGGAGCCUGGCCUGUGCAUUGAAGGAUGUUUAGAAGUGUCCUUUGUCCCCACCUGGCAGAUACCAACAGCCCUUCCUUCUACCUGGGACAACCAAAAAUAUCUCCAGACAUUGUCCCAGGUUCCCUGGAGGGCAGAAUUCUUCCCUACUGAGUACCACUGCUCUACUCCAUGCAGACCAGAUUCUCCGCGUUUUUAGGAUGGAAUAUGGGCCAGUGCAGAAAGACAAGGUGGAGCCUGCGUGUUUGGUUCAUGGUCAUUCCCUUCGGAUGCUCGGAGGAAAGGACCUGGGUCCUGGCCUGACAGAAGUGUGGGAAGUCUGUAUGCCUUCAGACAUGGCCGCUGCUGGCCGGGGCUGCAGAUGGGCUCAGAAGGCCCCUCUCACUUUGCCUCGGUGAAGAAAGCGUGCGCCAAGAGCUG